GCCAGACCCACUUCCGGGUUGGUUAUUUGUUUGGGAUGUAUAUAAACUGCAUAGUCGGAGCACAUUCCCUCUCUGUUUCCUCUGUGUUUGCCAGAGGCUGGUCCUGUUGUGUGCCUGUUGAGCAGAGCAUGGGGGUGUUGCACUCUUACAGGGGCAGCGGCGAUCACGGAUGGCUUGACGGUGGAGGGUUCGGCGACAGAGUCUCUCACCUGUACUUCACACCCCCUUAAAGUGUGUGCAUGGUUUUCUGCACGGCCUUCACAAUUUAUAUUAUAUAUUCCCUAUUUUUGGUUUUGCUUUGCUGUGUGCGUGUGUGCGUGUGUGUGUGUGUGUAGGGCACUUGAGUGUGGUGAGUACACUGUCCGGUUGUAAAUUUUCCCUUUUCAAUGUCUGCGGCCGCUGCCGGCCAUCCUCAGCACUCCUUAACUUAGUAUAAAUAUUGAUGAUUAUUUUGACUUUUUUGUUUUUAAUAGUCUUGGUUUUUACCUUUUUUGAUGUGUUGGCAUGUUUUAAAAUUAAACUUGGGGGAAAUUCCUGUCUCUGAGCCUAAUUUACUGUCACUUGUAUCAAUACAAAAUCUGAGUUUUACCUACAGAGUAAAUUGAAUGCUGGCUCAUCCACGGCCCAGCCACAGCUGGUUAUCAUUUACGUUAGUGUCUAAUGGUUACGUAUUACAAGUUGGGAGCGAGACCUGGGAGAAGUACCUGUUACGAUCUUGAGAGAUUCAGGAGGUUUGGACUCAUUUGUUUUGGACUACAUGUUACCCUGUUCACUCCUGAGACGGACAAUGAUUCCAAUGUUGGGAUCCAAGGUAUGGGAUUGACUGUUACACAGCCUAAAUUGACACUGUUUUCUCAGAGCUGGUGCAAGGUGACGUGACCUCAGUAAUAUGUUUUAGUCCCAAUUACUUGGUUUUAGUCACACAGAUAGAGUUCCCUUAGCCUCCUUACACAGGGACUGUAAAGCUGAAGAGGCCCCCAGAAACUCAAUAGACUAUGUGAAUGAUUUCAGACAGCGGCUGUACAGGGAAAAUAAAAUGGUGAAAGAGAAUCGGCAGGCAGCUCAGAGAAAAAUUAAAAGUCUCUAUGAUCGUCGCGGUGAUCGCCGUGAAUUUAGCCCUGGUGAAGUUCUGGCACUUCUCCCUUUAGCUUGUUCUCCUUUACAGGCUAAGUUCCCUGGCCCUUAUACAGUGGCCUGAAAAGUGUCAGAUUUGAACUAUUUAAUCUCAACUCCUGACAGGAAAUAGUCUAUGCAGCUCUGUCACAUUAACUUGUUGAAGCCUUACUUUACUCACGCUCCUGGUCCAGUUUCUGUUUCCUCAGCCGUCACUUUGGUUAACUCUGCUCCACCUCUUGAUCCAAUAGCAGACACUGAGGAGGAGUUGGAUGCACCAGAUAAUGGAAUUUUCAGAGGACGUCAUAAAAAGUCUUGCCAAUUAGGAUGAGAUUCUAAAACAUUUACCUGAAAAAAAAAGAACAGAACUGCUGGUCUUAUUUAAAGUUAUCCCUGCCUAUUUGCAGGCACUCCUGCAAAUACUCAUCUCAUUGAGCAUGACAUUGAUGUGGGAGAUGCCCAGCCAGUCGGACAACGUUUUUAUCGCAUGUGUCCAGACAAGCGGGAGCAUUUAGAAGCUGAGGUCAGAUAGAUGUUAGAGAAUAACAUUGCUAAGCCAUUUGUCUCUAGUUGGUCUUCUCCCUGUCUGCUUGUGAAGAAACCUGAUGGUACUUUCAGGCCAUGUACUGAUCUCUGGAAGGUGAAUCAAGUAACCCAGUAUGACUCUUUUUUACUCCCAUGUAUGGAGGACUGUGUGGACCAAGUUGGCUCUGCAAAAUAUGUCAGCAUAUUUGACCUACUGAAAGGUUACUGGCAGGUCCCUUUCCCUGAAACAGAUUCUCUUCCUAAAAUGCAGAUUCAUGAUUGUGCUUCCACUCUCUCCAUUGCUCCGUUUGACCACCCCCUCUCACAACAGCCAAUCACAAAAUAUAUAAAUAAACAGCCAGAAAAAAAACAAUUUUUUCUCCCAGUUUAUUUAAGCUACUGUCAUU